UGUACGGUGUCAUAUUUCCAACGACCGGAAAUACUUAGAAACCGAACGGUCUUAGUGGACAAGCAGCCCACUAUAGCGCCACAUUCUCACUGGGCUCAAGGCCCAAUUCAUAAAAAUAUAUCAUUCAGAUAUAUUCACCAGAUAUAUCUUGCGAAGAUAUUAUAACAGAGAUAUGUCAAGUAAGAUUAUAUUUUAUUCUGUUUAUAUUACUGUUAUUGCUGUUAAUAUUAUAUCAAUCCAAAGCCUAUAAAUAAAGGCCAGAGGAUUCCAAACAAGGUACGCUCUCAAAAUACACUUUACUCACAGUUCAUACUGCACAUCACCUCUCUCAUUAAUUCUCUCACACAGAGAAUCCUCAAUACACGCCUAACUUGAGCGUCGGAGUGCCUUUUCAGGUACCUCCCCCCCGUCAAAGCUAGGAGAUCACCGGACGGCUGAAGUUGACGAGAAGACGUACGGUCAGAAAUCACGAAAAGCGGGCAGAAGCACAGAAGAAGACGUCAUUAAGGUUAGUACUUCGGUCCCAAUAAAUUUACACCGUAACA
rnacentral:lncRNA from 1 species